rnacentral:tRNA from 1 species
GGGUCCGUAGCUCAGUCGGUCAGAGCAGGUCACUCAUAAUGACUUGGUCCCUGGUUCGAAUCCAGGCGGACCCA